UACGUAGGUGGCAAGCGUUGUCCGGAUUUAUUGGGUUUAAAGGGUGCGUAGGCGGCCUAUUAAGUCAGUGCUGAAAUAUCCCGGCUUAACCGGGAGGGUGGCAUUGAUACUGAUGGGCUUGAGUAGAGUCGAGGUAGGCGGAAUUGACGGUGUAGCGGUGAAAUGCUUAGAUAUCGUCAAGAACACCGAUAGUGUAGACAGCUUACUAGGCUCAAACUGACGCUGAGGCACGAAAAGUGUGGGGAUCAAACAGG
rnacentral:rRNA from 1 species